AUAGGAAGCUCUUGAGAACCU
rnacentral:siRNA from 1 species